rnacentral:tRNA from 1 species
GUGGUCGUAGCUCAAUGGUAGAGCACCGGGUUGUGGUCCCGGCGGUUGUGGGUUCGAGCCCCAUCGACCACCCCA